CUCCCCUCUGCUUUUUCAAAGGUGCUUUCUCUACCCAGAGAAUGGCUUUUGGCUGAUCUAGUUUCACAUCCUUCCAGCUCAGCAAUCCAAGAAGAAUAGAAUUUCCCUCUCCAGCUUCUAAUUUAAAAUUCAGGCUGAAAUCUUCAGUGGAUCUUCCCUAGACUCUACCUCAGCUUACAACAGUCUGUCUGGGCAUCUUGCUAUUGCUACUGUGGUGGGGUCAUUUGUCUUAGAGUGGAACAAGAGAGAAUCCUAGUAACCAGGUGAUGACUUGAGUUGUCACUUCUGAUUUUCCUUCUGAGAAAAUCCUCUGAACCCAG